CGCAUCUUGCGCUCCUUGGUAUUCCGAGGAGCAUGCCUGUUUGAGUGUCGUGAAGUACUCUCAAUUUCAAUUUGAAAUUGGAUCUGGGUGUUGUUGUUGUAACUCAUCCUAAAUGCAUUUGCGAUCUGGUUAUGAUCACACACAAUGUGAUAAGUCAAAAGCAUUGUUAAGAUCUAGUCAGGAUGGCCUCUAAUCGUCGAAAGACAACCUUUAUGUCAUUUGACCUCAGAUCAGGCAGGACUACCCGCUGAACUUAA
rnacentral:misc_RNA from 1 species